rnacentral:lncRNA from 1 species
CUCCAGGACCCCGACCCAGGAAGAGGAAAGAGACGAAUGGAGUCCGUGGCCAGCAUCCAUUGUGGCCAUGGUAGAAGGCAGGAGAAGUCCUGGGGCAGCCUCAGGAACCCAAGAACGGAGCCCCUCCUAAAGAGGGUGAGGUCAGAACAUGAUGCAACACAGAAGGACAGAACGCAUCAGAAACAGGCUUUCUGAGAACCA